rnacentral:rRNA from 1 species
CACCGCGGUUACACGAGAGACCCGAGUCGACAGACAACGGCGUAAAGAGUGGUUAAGGCAAAUUAAGACUAAAGCCGAAGGCCCUCAAAACUGUUAUACGUUUACGAGAGUAUGAAGAUCACCUACGAAAGUGGCUUUACAAUCCCUGAACCCACGAAAGCUAUGGCA